AGGGGCUCAGGAUAAUGCAUGUAGAAGAGGCUUUCGGAAUUUUGGAGAAACUGAGACGCUCCUGUGCCCACCUAGUCCCUGUGAGCUGCAUCCGCAUUCUUCAUCAGGAAAGGCAGCAAGAUCAGCAGCAAGGAGAACUAAGCAGAGUUCCUGGAGGUAAAACCUGUGAAAGCGUGGGUCCCUGUGAAAGACUAUAGCCUCAGGAGUUUCUUGUUGUCCUGGUAGUCACUCAACUUCCAGCAAGGUGUCAGAGUUCUGAUGGUCAUCUAGACCAAUGCUCAGUUAAGACCUGAUCAUUGCCCACAUGAAG